GACGAACGCUGGCGGCGUGCCUAAUACAUGUAAGUCGAACGAGAGCGACCGGUGCUUGCACUGGUCAAUCUAGUGGCGAACGGGUGAGUAACACGUGGGUAACCUGCCCAUCAGAGGGGGAUAACAUCCGGAAACGGAUGCUAAAACCGCAUAGGUCUUCGAACCGCAUGGUUUGAAGAGGAAAAGAGGCGCAAGCUUCUGCUGAUGGAUGGACCCGCGGUGCAUUAGCUAGUUGGUGAGGUAACGGCUCACCAAGGCCGUGAUGCAUAGCCGACCUGAGAGGGUGAUCGGCCACAUUGGGACUGAGACACGGCCCAAACUCCUACGGGAGGCAGCAGUAGGGAAUCUUCCGCAAUGGACGCAAGUCUGACGGAGCAACGCCGCGUGAGUGAAGAAGGUUUUCGGAUCGUAAAACUCUGUUGUUAGAGAAGAACAAGUGCUAGAGUAACUGUUAGCGCCUUGACGGUAUCUAACCAGAAAGCCACGGCUAACUACGUG
rnacentral:rRNA from 1 species